ensembl:lncRNA HCP5 HLA complex P5
AGAUUCUCCCCAGACGCCAAGGUUGCGGGUCAUGGAGUCCCGAACCCUCCUCCUGCUGUUCUCGGGAGCCGUGGCCCUGAUCCAGACCUGGGCAGGACCCUGACUGUCCCACAGAAGAAGUGACAAGAAUUUAUUUAUGACAUGACAAUAACACAUGUAUUCAUGGUGUUAAUUCGAUUUGUUUCAUAGAGACAGGGUCUUGCUAUGUUGCCCAGGCUGGUCUUCCACUCCUGGCCUCAAGCAAUCCCCCUGACUUGGACUUCCAAAGUGCUAGCAUUACAGGUGUGAGCCAUUGUGCCCAGCCCUUAACUUGAAAAUCUGACAGUAUAAUAAAAGAAAAAAAUAGAAGUAUUCUGGAAAUGGAAGAGGAAAGAAGGCUAAGGUGGAAAUCAUCAAUCUGUGUCAUCUGAGAAGCCCCACGUGCAGAGGCUGUCCCGGGACUUUAGGGGAGAACAAAAACAAAGCACCCAGGAUCCUGGUGUCAGGGACAGAGCAUGGCCACGGCGGGAUGGUAGUGGCUCUCCUAUGAAAUAAUGCUCAUAAACAUCCCUUGUGAGAAGGAUCAGAUCAACAUAUAAAAAUAUGCCAAAUAAAGUGAAACUCAAGGCAGGAGUGGGACUGGCCAUUCUCAGCCCGUGACCUCCAUGGACUUGGAGAAAGGCUCAGCCUGGAGAUGUGUGAGGCCUCCGACCUGGAGCAGCACCCGCCCCUAAAGACCAGGCACAAAUCCCAGCACAUGGAGGGAUCCAGACAAAUACACAAGAGAUGACCACAGCAGGAGCUUUACUGGGCACAGAGCGAGGCCACACACCACUCAGCUCCUGCCCCUCCACCUGCCCUUCUCUCCCCACCUGCCCCUGCCCCAGCACAGCAGAUCCUCAGAAUCCAAAAAGAGAACCUAACUUCCAUGUUUUAUUAAUGGCUUAUAAUAUUUUAUCACAUCUUCAGAAAACACUAUGCAGAAGAUAACUGUAGAGCAAGACAUCUAUUUAGGGUGAGUGAGUCACAGUGGAGAUCUGGGAGGGAGACCCUGUAACCCUUUCAUUCCAAGAAAAGAAAGGUCGAUCCAAAGAAGGGGACCCCAGGCCUGGAUAUUGGGAUUACAUGAAAGGGGUUCUGGGGCAUCAGGGGAAUGGGUCCCUCUCCCUACAUCCUCCCGGGGCUGUGCUUGGGAGGACAGCAGCUGGGGGAAGAAAAGUCAGGGUCCACAGAGAUAUAAGGGGGCUGAGAACUAUCUGUGUCUUGCUGGUCUGCACAAGGCAGCUCUCAAACUGUGGAGAACAUGGUAAUGACCAGAUUCAGCUCAGCCACUCUCAGCCUUUACACCUAGAGCAUUAUGGGCAGCCCAUCACCAUCCCCUACCUUCAAAUCCAAAGAUCGCUACAGCCCAAAGCUGCUCCCUGGCCUCAACUCCUGUUGGUAUCAGGCCCCAAGGAAGCUGUGAGCACGUCUGCCUGGGACCCUGUCACCAUCUGGAGAAUGACAAUAAAGAGGACCCAGCAGCCUGCAGGAGGAGACUGUAUUUGAGGCAGGACCAUGGGAUGGGUGAGGCACAGGACUGUGGCUCCAUCCUCUCUAUUUGAGGAGUUAGAGAUGAGCUGCCUCUGCCACCCCUUCCAUGGUGAUAUUUCUAGAGUACACCCCUGUGCUGAAAUUCUUAUGAGGAAAGAGACCUGAUGAGAUGCUAUGGUGAAGAGGGGCCAUAAGGGUCUUGAAUACCAAGUUAAUUUUGCUACCAGCUGAGAUUAGGAAGUGAAGCCCAGGACCCAGGAGAGGAGGAGGAGGAGAUAACACAGGACCCUGUGAUCACUCUCCUGGCCAUCUGUGUACAGUGAGAUGCUUCCCUUCGGGGUUGGGAGCACCCAGUGUCAUGGUCCUGAGUGUUGCUACCCUGCUGUUCUCAUCUGUGAAUGCAGCCAGACCACUUUCUUCCUCUGAUAUAAAUAACUUGGAGGAUCUGUCACCAGACACCUCAUAUCUACAUAUUAAUAAAUUCUGUACAGUG